rnacentral:rRNA from 1 species
CGGUGUUUAACUGGCGUGAUGUGGGACGUCCUACCGGUGGGCUUAGCCUCGCGAGGGGCGGCCCAACUAAUAUCCCGUCGCGGUGCUCUUUACUGAGUGUCGAGUCGGGCCGGUACGUUUACUUUGAACAAAUUAGAGUGCUUAAAGCAGGCUAUCCUCGCCUGAAUACUGCGUGCAUGGAAUAAUGGAAUAGGACCUCGGUUCUAUUUUGUUGGUUUUCGGAACCCCGAGGUAAUGAUUAAUAGGGACAGAUGGGGGCAUUCGUAUUGCGACGUUAGAGGUGAAAUUCUUGGAUCGUCGCAAGACGGACAGAAGCGAAAGCAUUUGCCAAAAAUGUUUUCAUUAAUCAAGAACGAAAGUUAGAGGUUCGAAGGCGAUCAGAUACCGCCCUAGUUCUAACCAUAAACGAUGCCAGCUAGCGAUCCGCCGAAGUUCCUCCGAUGACUCGGCGGGCAGCUUCCGGGAAACCAAAGCUUUUGGGUUCCGGGGGGAAGUAUGGUUGCAAAGCUGAAACUUAAAGGAAUUGACGGAAGGGCACCACCAGGAGUGGAGCCUGCGGCUUAAUUUGACUCAACACGGGAAACCUCACCAGGCCCCAGACACCGGAAGGAUUGACAGAUUGAUAGCUCUUUCUUGAUUCGGUGGGUGGUGGUGCAUGGCCGUUCUUAGUUGGUGGAGCGAUUUGUCUGGUUAAUUCCGAUAACGAACAAGACUCUAGCCUGCUAAAUAGGCGUACCUUAUGGUAUCGCGAAGGCCCCCGGCUUCGGCCGGUGGGUUUUUACUACCAACGUACAAACAAAUCUUCUUAGAGGGACAGGCGG